rnacentral:rRNA from 1 species
UAAGUCAGAACCGUGCUAGAAACGAUGAUGCUGGUCCCGCACAUAUUAGCUGUGUUAAAAUAGAGCUUUGCUCGUGAACCAAAUCAGACAGACGUGGAUGCUGCAGUGGAAAUCUGUGGUGUCUAGUUUGUGAAUUGUAAUUACCAUAUGGGCGGGGGUGAAUCCUUUGCAGACGACUUGAAUGGGAACGGGGUACUGUAAGCAGUAGAGUAGCCUUGUUGCUUCGAUCUGCUGAGGUUAAGCCCUUGUUCUAAAGAUUUGU